rnacentral:rRNA from 1 species
CUAAGUUUGAUGGCGACCGGCGCACGGGUGAGUGACACGUAUCCAACCUGCCGAUGACUCGGGGAUAGCCUUUCGAAAGAAAGAUUAAUACCCGAUGGCAUAGUUCUUCCGCAUGGUGGAACUAUUAAAGAAUUUCGGUUAUCGAUGGGGAUGCGUUCCAUUAGGCAGUUGGUGGGGUAACGGCCCACCAAACCUUCGAUGGAUAGGGGUUCUGAGAGGAAGGUCCCCCACAUUGGAACUGAGACACGGUCCAAACUCCUACGGGAGGCAGCAUG